GAUGAACGCUAGCGACAGGCUUAACACAUGCAAGUCGAGGGGCAGCAUAAAAGUAGCAAUACUUUGGUGGCGACCGGCGCACGGGUGAGUAACGCGUAUGCAACCUACCUAUCAGAGGGGGAUAACCCGGCGAAAGUCGGACUAAUACCGCAUAAAACAGGGGCACCGCAUGGUGAUAUUUGUUAAAAAUUUAUUGCUGAUAGAUGGGCAUGCGUUCCAUUAGGUAGUUGGAGAGGUAACGGCUCACCAAGCCUACGAUGGAUAGGGGAACUGAGAGGUUGGUCCCCCAACUGGUACUGAGACACGGACCAGACUCCUACGGGAGCAGCAGUGAGGAAUAUUGGUCAAUGGGGCAGAGCCUGAACCAGCCAAGUCGCGUGAAGGAAGAAGGAUCUAUGGUUCGUAAACUUCUUUUGCUAGGGGAAUAAAGUGCAGGACGUGUCCUGUUUUGUAUGUACCCUGAGAAUAAGGAUCGGCUAACUCCGUGCCCAGCAGCCGAC
rnacentral:rRNA from 1 species